rnacentral:tRNA from 1 species
GCCCCAGUGGCUUAGUGGCAUAGCGGCUGAUUUGUAAUCAGCAGGUCGCGCGUUCAACUCGCGCCUGGGGCU